AACGUAGGAGACAAACGUUAUCCGGAGUUACUGGGCGUAAAGGGCGUGUAGGCGGUUUGUUAAGUCUGGCGUGAAAGCUCUCGGCUAAACCGGGAGAGGUCGUUGGAUACUGGCAGACUAGAGGACGGUAGAGGCGUGUGGAAUUCCGGGUGUAGUGGUGAAAUGCGUAGAGAUCCGGAGGAACACCAGUGGCGAAGGCGACACGCUGGGCCGUACCUGACGCUAAAGCGCGACAGCAUGGGGAGCAAACGGG
rnacentral:rRNA from 1 species